CAGCAGUGGUAAUAGCAAGGACAUAAAUCGAGUUAACAAGGCGGUAUACAACACGGUACCUGGAUUCGACACCAACAAUAACUUGACCCGAAGAAGCAGCGAGCGGGUCAUCACCAAGGGACAUAGAAGGAUCAGAAGAAGAGUCAGAGGGGGUGGGUGGUUGGGAUUGUUUGGAAAAGGCAAGGCGGGUUUGGCGAAAAGCGGAAAGGGCCAUUAGGGCACGAGAAGGAGGGAACCAUUCACGGGUUUGGAGUAA
rnacentral:lncRNA from 1 species